UACCAGCACCCCGAGUGGUCGGGACGAUUAUUGGGCCUAAAGCAUCCGUAGCCGGUUUUACAAGUCCUCCGUUAAAUCCAGCUGCUUAACAGAUGGGCUGCGGAGGAUACUAUAAGACUAGGAGGCAGGAGAGGCAAGCGGUACUCAGUGGGUAGGAGUAAAAUCCGUUGAUCCAUUGAAGACCACCAGUGGCGAAGGCGGCUUGCCAGAAUGCGCUCGACGGUGAGGGAUGAAAGCUGGGGGAGCAAACCGG
rnacentral:rRNA from 1 species